GCAGGAUUUAAACCCCAUAUGCGAAUGGUCUGAUCAUCACUUCCUGAUGCCAGCAUAUGAGGAUUUGCUGGGUUCCAACUAACACAGUUGACAGUCCCAGAAUGUCCAGCUAACUUCCGGAGGAGUUGUUGUGAACAUCUGUCCCAUAUAUAUACCUGUGAAUCCUCACUUCCACUGGCGAUGAAAGCUUGACGAAGUCCACCAAAGCAAGGUUUUAUGAUGAAGCGUUCUUGCUUAUGG
rnacentral:misc_RNA from 1 species